rnacentral:tRNA from 1 species
GCUUUCGUGGUGUAAACGGUAGUACACUCGGCGCGUAUUCGAGAGGUCCAGGUUCGAGUCCCGGCCAGGGCA